rnacentral:misc_RNA from 1 species
UUAAGUUCAGCGGGUAUCCCUACCUGAUCCGAGGUCAACCAUAGAAAAAUUGGGGGUUGAUGGCAAGCAUCCACCAGGACUCCAUAGCGAGAAGAAUUACUACGCUUAGAGCCAGAUGGCGCCGCCACUGAUUUUAAGGGCUGCCAGUGCAGCAGGCCCCAACACCAAGCUGAGCUUGAGGGGUUAUAAUGACGCUCGAA